rnacentral:rRNA from 1 species
GACGAACGCUGGCGGCGUGCCUAAUACAUGCAAGUAGAACGCUGAAGGAGGAGCUUGCUUCUCUGGAUGAGUUGCGAACGGGUGAGUAACGCGUAGGUAACCUGCCUGGUAGCGGGGGAUAACUAUUGGAAACGAUAGCUAAUACCGCAUAAGAGUGGAUGUUGCAUGACAUUUGCUUAAAAGGUGCACUUGCAUCACUACCAGAUGGACCUGCGUUGUAUUAGCUAGUUGGUGGGGUAAGGGCUCACCAAGGCGACGAUACAUAGCCGACCUGAGAGGGUGAUCGGCCACACUGGGACUGAGACACGGCCCAGACUCCUACGGGAGGCAGCAGUAGGGAAUCUUCGGCAAUGGACGGAAGUCUGACCGAGCAACGCCGCGUGAGUGAAGAAGGUUUUCGGAUCGUAAAGCUCUGUUGUAAGAGAAGAACGAGUGUGAGAGUGGAAAGUUCACACUGUGACGGUAUCUUACCAGAAAGGGACGGCUAACUACGUGCCAGCAGCCGCGGUAAUACGUAGGUCCCGAGCGUUGUCCGGAUUUAUUGGGCGUAAAGCGAGCGCAGGCGGUUAGAUAAGUCUGAAGUUAAAGGCUGUGGCUUAACCAUAGUAGGCUUUGGAAACUGUUUAACUUGAGUGCAAGAGGGGAGAGUGGAAUUCCAUGUGUAGCGGUGAAAUGCGUAGAUAUAUGGAGGAACACCGGUGGCGAAAGCGGCUCUCUGGCUUGUAACUGACGCUGAGGCUCGAAAGCGUGGGGAGCAAACAGG